rnacentral:rRNA from 1 species
UAGGGAAUUGUUCGCAAUGGGCGCAAGCCUGACGACGCAACGCCGCGUGGAGGAUGAAGACUUUCGGGUCGUAAACUCCUUUCGACCGAGAUGAAUACUCUCAGACCUAAUACGUUUGAGAGCUGACAGUAUCGAGGGAAGAAGCCCCGGCUAACUCCGUGCCAGCAGCCGCGGUAAUACGGGGGGGGCAAGCGUUUUUCGGAAUCACUGGGCGUAAAGGGCGUGUAGGCGGUUCGGCAAGUGAGAUGUGAAAUCCCUCGGCUCACCCGAGGACCUGCAUCUCAAACUGCCGGACUAGAGUAUGGGAGAGGAUGAGGGAAUUCCUGGUGUAGCGGUGAAAUGCGUAGAUAUCAGGAGGAACACCGGUGGCGAAAGCGCUCAUCUGGCCCAAUACUGACGCUGAGGCGCGAAAGCUAGGGGAGCAAA